UACGGAGGUGGCAAGCGUUGUUCGGAAUUACUGGGCGUAAAGGGCGCGUAGGCGGCCAGGCAAGUCAGGUGUGAAAGCCCCGAGCUUAACUCGGGAAUUGCAUCUGAAACUGCUGUGCUUGAGUUCUGGAGGGGGUAGUGGAAUUCCCAGUGUAGCGGUGAAAUGCGUAGAUAUUGGGAGGAACACCUGCGGCGAAGGCGGCUACCUGGACAGAAACUGACGCUGAGGCGCGAAAGCUAGGGGAGCGAACGGG
rnacentral:rRNA from 1 species